UGUAAUUUAUAUAUGUACAAACAUAGGAUAUUUACUAUAAUAAAAUGUGGAAAACAAAAUAAUUGGCAUAACCUCUUCUUGGCAGUUGUAAUAUGUUUUUAUCUUAGUUGGUUUAAGAAACACCAUAUAAUUGCAUUUUAUUACACAGCUGCAAGCACUGAAGAAUAUAGUAAGAAUUGACACGAGUAUGCUAAUGCAUCUGUAAUUAACAGGGCCACAGCAUUGAAGGCACUGCUUUUAUUGGUGAUGACUUGGCCUGUCCUGCACAAGUUAAUAUUUUGAAGCAGAUGAAUGAAAGAAUCUGAUUUUUUGGCUUUAAAACAGAAAAUUGGAUUUGGAAUGAAUGUGCUAUGGACUAGAGUACACCAAUAGAACAUCCUCUGUCUGAUAGUCAAGAACAGGCAGAGGAGAAGCAUAUGUAUCUCUUUUCCUAACAACAUACCUUACACUGAAAUACCCACUGGCAAUGAAAUUCAAGCUUUUUGCUCUCUCUUUGAUGUCGUCUUUGGUCUGCCAUACUGCUGCAUAUCAUAGCUUUGCUUCUUCUGUUUUAGAAGUCAUCCUAUGAUUAUUAACUGUUGUCCUUUGUGGAAUUAAAAGUAGACAGAGGGCUGCUUGGCAUUGCUUGAGAUCAGUGAGGAUGUGUCAAAUGUGUGGUUCACUUUCCUUCCUCAUCUGUUUUGACCUGGCAACUCAGGGUGUGUGGUGAAGGACAGCGUCCUCAGACCCUUAAGGAGGGCAGUGCUUCAGUCCUGCUUCUUUUCUCCCGACUUGUUUUAGAGACUGGAAGAGGGAGCUUCUUUUCUCAUCCUGGGUUGAUAUAAAAAUAAGUCAUUCUUAAAAUAAAAUUUAUUCUAGUGACUGAGUCUGCUAGUUGAUAAAAUUGGAAAAAAAUAUAUUUUUACUAGACCAUAAAUAUUUUUUGUUACAAUUUCAGUCAAUUCUGAUGAAUUCAAAGUAUCCAAAGUAUGAAGAACUUUAUUACUGUUUUGAGCAGUUUUUAUCGUGUUUGGGGUAAAUGUAAAAUGAGUCUAGCUUGACUCAGUAUUACCAGACCAAUACUUGGCAAAGCAUGCCAGCAUUAUUUACUUGCAGUGACAACAAAUGAGCGUGUGCAGGCAUGCAGUAGUUGCAUUUAUGAGGGUACAGGAAAUGUGAAAGCUGAUGAAAUAUGCCCUCUACUUUGCCAAAAUGAUCUGCUGCAAGGGCAGCACCGAGCUUCUCCUAAACACUUGGUGCCGCUGACCCAGCAGAGGCACAUCUCAGAGUAUCUGCCCUUGUACCCUGCAAGUGAGUCCUACAGGGAGGGAGGCAGAACACGAGCAUUGGCAUACCAGCCUUCCUCCACUGGUAGCAACAGUAUGCCAUUUCUGGAAGCCUGGCACAUCAUGCAUGGAUUUGGAAUUGCUGCUUUGGUUUUCUUUCCUUAAAGACAUGGCUGAUAUGGAAAGAUACUUUACCUUAAGGACAUUAUUCUUUGAUGGAAACUGCCUAUGCAUGCUCAAUUUUAUCCAUAAUAGCAUGCUGGCUAACACUCACUCUUAGAAAUUUGAGCUUUUCCUACAUUUAUGCAACCUUUAUUUUCAUUAGUUGAUCAAAAAUUCAUUGCACCCUUUGUUGUUAAGCUGCAAGCCUGCCCUCUCGUCCCUGAAAUUUCUAGCUUGGGAUUGGGUUUGGAUCAGGUUUAGUGGUUUGGGUAGGUCUUUGGCAACUAUCCUGGUUCUGGCCCAUUAACCCUCACCUCUGCACAUAAAGACCAGGCCACACAAGACUCUUGUCUUUUCAGUGGUGGCAAACUGGCCAUCACUUACUGCAUAUAGAGCAGUGGACAAAAGGUACUCCUGUCAUACAGUGCAGCCAGGCAUCUGGCUUGUUGACUUCUUCCAUGCUUAUUUCCUUCAUCAUGCUGAGUGCUUUCUUGAAGGGUCAGAAGCUACUUAGUUUUGUCACCUCUGGUCAUGAGGGAAGGCACACGUUUGCUCUUUUGAGGGCAGUGCAGAUUUAGCUUGAGUGCCUAAAGUUGUUCUGUCACAGAUGUUGUUAGGUAGCAGGCCAGAAGAUUCCCGGGUUGGUGGUCAAGGCAUGCCUUGAAACAAAUUUUGAUGAUGUGCUACAUUUUAUCUGUCUUCAUAGUCAACCUGGAGCUGCUUAAACAGAAGUCAGGCAGUUGCCUAUGGUGACCAGGUGCCAAUUCAUAAGCCAUGAAAGCAACAGGAAGAGCUACAGUACAUUGCUAGAUCAGUGGCUUCAACCCUGAGCUGAAAUAAAGGACCUGCCUUGGCCAAGAGAGUCACGUUACUACUACAGCUGCACAGGAGAGACGGAACGACCUACCUACGGUCUGUCACCUUAGCU